UACGGAGGGUGCAAGCGUUGUCCGGAUUUAUUGGGUUUAAAGGGUGCGUAGGCGGCUUAUUAAGUCAGGGGUGAAAGACUGCAGCUCAACUGUAGCAGUGCCUUUGAUACUGAUGAGCUUGAGUACAGAUGAGGCUGGCGGAAUGGGCGGUGUAGCGGUGAAAUGCAUAGAUACCAUCCAGAACACCGAUUGCGAAGGCAGCCGGCUAAACUGUAACUGACGCUGAGGCACGAAAGCGUGGGGAUCGAACAGG
rnacentral:rRNA from 1 species